rnacentral:rRNA from 1 species
AUUGAACGCUGGCGGCAGGCCUAACACAUGCAAGUCGAGCGGUUGACGGGAGCUUGCUCCCUGAUUCAGCGGCGGACGGGUGAGUAAUGCCUAGGAAUCUGCCUAUUAGUGGGGGACAACGUUUCGAAAGGAACGCUAAUACCGCAUACGUCCUACGGGAGAAAGCAGGGGACCUUCGGGCCUUGCGCUAAUAGAUGAGCCUGGGUCGGUAUUAGCUUGUUGGGGAGGUAAUGGCUCACCAAGGCGACGCUCCCUAACUGGUCUGAGAGGAUGAUCAGUCACACUGGAACUGAGACACGGUCGAGACUCCUACGGGAGGCAGCAGUGGGGAAUAUUGGACAAUGGGCGAAAGCCUGAUCCAGCCAUGCCGCGUGUGUGAAGAAGGUCUUCGGAUUGUAAAGCACUUUAAGUUGGGAGGAAGGGUUGUAGAUUAAUACUCUGCAAUUUUGACGUUACCGACAGAAUAAGCACCGGCUAACUCUGUGCCAGCCGCCGCGGUAAGAC